GGCAGUGUAGCAUACUGGUAAUACGGUAGGGCUCAUAACCAUAAGGUUGCUGGUUCAAUUCCCCAUUGGGG